GGGGCCAUAGCUCAGCUGGAGAGCACCUGCUUUGCAAGCAGGUCGUCGGUUCGAUCCCGUCUGGCUCCACCA
rnacentral:tRNA from 1 species